rnacentral:misc_RNA from 1 species
CUCGCGCCCCGGCUUGAGUGGAGCUCUUUUUGCGGAACGCAGUGGAGCAAAAAAGCGGGAACGGAAGACGGAAAUAGGC